AGCGAACGCUGGCGGCAGGCCUAACACAUGCAAGUCGAACGAAGUCUUCGGACUUAGUGGCGGACGGGUGAGUAACACGUGGGUACGUGCCUUUAGGUUCGGAAUAACUCAGGGAAACUUGUGCUAAUACCGAAUGUGCCCUUCGGGGGAAAGAUUUAUCGCCUUUAGAGCGGCCCGCGUCUGAUUAGCUAGUUGGUGAGGUAAAGGCUCACCAAGGCUACGAUCAGUAGCUGGUCUGAGAGGAUGACCAGCCACAUUGGGACUGAGACACGGCCCAAACUCCUACGGGAGGCAGCAGUGGGGAAUCUUGCGCAAUGGGCGAAAGCUUGACGCAGCCAUGCCGCGUGGAUGAUGAAGGUCUUAGGAUUGUAAAAUCCUUUCACCGGUGAAGAUAAUGACUGUAGCCGGAGAAGAAGCCCCGGCUAACUUCGUGCCAGCCGCCGCCGUAACAC
rnacentral:rRNA from 1 species